AGAUUAUUGUGUUGGGAUCUUCACAUUUGAUGGAUUUCACCACAUGGUGAGAAAGACUGAUCAGAAUCGUUACAAACCAAUGUGAUAAUGGUCAAGCAGAGAAAAUGACACUUGGGCAAAUUGGGGCCUUUGUCCUCCUGUUCUAGGAGCACAAAACUAACCUCCCAUCACUCCUCACUACCUUGCUGAACCCCAAGCCAGGCACCAGAACAUUUAGAUGCUCAUUAUCAUCAAUAUAUUUGUCAAAUCAGUCAGAAGAAAUUAUCAACCUCAGGCAGACAAAGUCAAAAUUGUCUCCUCUGUGCUUUUUCCAAAUCACCCACCACAAAACCCAGGUAUCUUUUAUUGUAUUGCUAAACUAAGAUGCAAGAGAAGCA
rnacentral:lncRNA from 1 species